GACGAACGCUGGCGGCGUGCUUAACACAUGCAAGUCGAACGGAAAGGCCCUGCUUUUGUGGGGUGCUCGAGUGGCGAACGGGUGAGUAACACGUGAGUAACCUGCCCUUGACUUUGGGAUAACUUCAGGAAACUGGGGCUAAUACCGGAUAGGAGCUCCUGCUGCAUGGUGGGGGUUGGAAAGUUUCGGCGGUUGGGGAUGGACUCGCGGCUUAUCAGCUUGUUGGUGGGGUAGUGGCUUACCAAGGCUUUGACGGGUAGCCGGCCAGAGUGGGUGGCCGGGCACCAGGGGGAGGAGGGACGGGACAGGAGGCCACGGGGCGCAGGAGGGGGGAAGAGGGCACGAUGGGGGUGGGGAGGAUGCCGCAGGGCCGGGGGCGGGAUGAGGGCGGUCGUGUGGGAAACCGCGUGCGCUCAGGACGAAGCGUGGUGGGACGGUAGUGGAGAAAGAAGCACCGGCUAACUACGUG
rnacentral:rRNA from 1 species